CUUUAACCCUCACCUUCCAUAAGUUUCUCUCAGCUUCUUCUCAUUUCAGUGCUUCGGGCGAAGAAAAAUGGCUAGACGGUCUAGUCGCACAAUUUAUGUUGGCAAUCUUCCUGGCGAUGUUCGCUUGAGGGAAGUAGAGGAUCUUUUCUACAAGUUUGGUCCUAUUGUUGACAUUGAUCUGAAGAUUCCUCCGAGACCACCAGGUUAUGCCUUUGUGGAGUUUGAGGAUAUCCGUGAUGCUGAAGAUGCCAUUUACUAUAGAGAUGGUUACAACUUUGACGGUUUUCGCUUACGGGUUGAACUUGCACAUGGUGGACGGGGUCAUACAUCAUCAGUAGACCGCUAUAGUAGCUAUAGUGGUAGUAGCAGUAGCCGCGGAGUUUCCAGGCGUUCCGAUUAUCGUGUUCUUGUCACAGGAUUACCCCCUUCUGCUUCAUGGCAAGACCUGAAAGAUCAUAUGCGAAGAGCUGGUGAUGUGUGUUUUUCUCAAGUCUUCCGUGAGCGUGGUGGUAUGACUGGGAUAGUGGAUUAUACAAAUUAUGAUGACAUGAAAUAUGCUAUAAGGAAGCUUGAUGACUCGGAAUUCAGAAAUGCCUUUUCUCGGUCAUACAUACGGGUCAGGGAAUAUGAUCGCCGGAGUUAUUCUAGAAGCCCCAGUCGUGAUUCAAGGAGGAGCUAUUCGAGAAGCCUCAGCCGCAGUCCAUAUGUGUCGCGAAGUCGAAGCUAUAGUCGAAGUCCUAGCUAUAGUGACAGGAGCAGAAGUUGGUCUCCAAAACCAAAGCAUUCUCGGCGUUCGUUAUCUCGCUCAAGAGGAUCAAAAUCUCCUACUUUUGUUCCCGUUGACUAAAUUCUCUGGAUCUGUUACUGCUGGUGAAUCUGUUGGGAGAUAUCCAAAUAUUAAGACAGGUGGAGUGGCAGACACCAUAUUCUGCAUACUCCAGAUAUCAUGCACUAUCAGGAAUGUAAAAUUGCUUCUGGUUAAUUAUGUGAUAUUUAUUAAUGCUUUUCAUCCAAGAUUGUUUUCCCCUAAAAUUUUGUAUAUGUUAUUGUUGAUUCAUGUUUAAAUACAUCUUUAUUCAUGUAAAACAAGUGAACUAGUGCCAACUUUUUGCCAAAGCCAGUAAUGCCAGCAAUCUCUACUAUGUUGGACAAGCAAAACCCCAGUCAAGCUUUUAGAUUAGGUGCACAUUAUCUCUAUUGUCUGUUAGUAGAUGUGAAAGCCUUGUUGAUACAUGCAAAGAGUUUUGUCAUAUUGUCUUCAAGUUCUCACUUAGAUUACUGUGUUUGGAGUAGUAGAGAUAGUGGAUUAUAAUUAUCAAGUAAUCAGUUUACCUGGAGCAGCUUGUGUGGUGAUUUGGUAAUACCAACCUAUUUUGAGGCCCAGAUGAUAGAGAAAUUAUUGUUGUUAGUCAAUUGAGUGACAAUGAUAACUGUUGGCUGAUUUCAAGUAGGGUUUGCUUACCUCAUUAAUUAUUUUUUAGCCCAAAAUGUACUCUGCAAUUUUUAGGAGUUUCUCGUCGCUUCUUACACCUCUUUAUAUAGAUGAUUUUGGUGUAAUAGUUUGAUUCAUUAGACAAGGUUCUUGAUUAUGUGGAAUUUGUGCUAUUUGACUUUUCAAAUGCGUUGUGUCUAGAAUUCUAGGUGGAGAUGGAAACUCUUUUAAGCCUCUGCUGUUAUAUGGAUAUGACAUCAUCCCUUUAUUUCACAUUUAAUUAAGACCUUCAAUUUUCAAUGACCUUGAGAGAUGUCAUUCAUUUUAUUUCAUGGAUGGUUUACACGUUUAUGUUGCAUUUCUAGAAAUUCCUAUUUGUGUCUCAAAAGUCAAACUGAAUGCAUGUUUCUGUUUCCCUAUUUUUGCAACUUAAAGGGAGUGCCUUCUUUCCUUGAAGUUUUCUUGUGUUUUCAAAGAAAACUUUUUGGUAUGUUCUGUCUACUUUGCUGUUCUCACAAAGCCAAAUUUUGUGUUUACUUUGUUGUUCUCAUAUAGCGAAUUGCUGUGCGCUAGAAGUAUCAGCAAUUAAGCAUAAUUCCUCAUACGUGGAAAGGUGGAUGGGGCAUUGGUAAAGUGGAUUGUCAGCUUUUGCCAAUAAUUUACUCGAUGUUCAUUAGGCUUGGCUCUUGUUUUCUAGAUGUGGCCUUUUCUGGUGACCUGGGAACUUCGUGUUAGGACCUGAGGGUAUGUGGUGCUCAAAACGCCUGCAACUUUUGGUCCAAGGUAAUAUUGUUUAAUUGAUGAGCACCUGUGAAACACCUUAAUGCUGCGACUAACGGUAACAGUGAUGAUAUAUUGAUUUAAGGCACAGUCUGCAAUUGUUGGCUGGAUGCCUAUAGAUGGAUGAGUUGCAAUCUAAAAGGUGGAUUACCAUGAACUAAGUGCUAUUGUUACCGACCAUUUCAAACCAGCAGAGUUACAAUUCGUAAAUUACAACAUAGUCUCUGGUUUAAGUUCUGGGGUCAGCCAUAUUCGUCUGCUAGGUUUCCUUUUAUUGUCCUGUGUUGGGUUUGUUUUGGUUAAAAUGUUGGGUAUAAUUGGUUGAAGGUAUCGUGCUGCUGACAAUAGAUUGUUUGGCAAUUGUUGAGACUAUAGACGUGCGAUGAAUUGGGUUCUUAUUCACUUGGAUCCCGCGCAAGAUUUGUGGUAGAUUGAUUUCUUCCUUGUGGUUUGGUAACCUUGAUGUGGAAUAUUGCUCUCGUGGAUGGAACUUCUUCUGUGGAUCAUUCUGCAUACUGAUUUGAGUUUUGUUCGUUCUAAAAUUUUGCAGAUCUGUCUCAAGAUCCAGAUCUCCUUAUUCAUCUCCUCGACCUUACAGUCGAAGCCAAAGUCCAAGGAGCAUGUAAUAGUCUCACCCGACCCCAGUGAGAUCUGAUGAAUGCAGCCAUUCUGUUGAGUUUGCUUUGGAGACUUGCCAUUGACUCUGUAUUUUCUAUACUACAAUUUUAAUUUGACAAGUGAGACCUAGGAUACAUACCAUUGUAGCUCUAUCUUAUUAUGUACUUGAAUUUUAAAGUUGUCAUGAGGAGUUUAUAUCUGGUAGAUUAUAGCAAAUUGAUAUGAAAUAUUAAACUAUGGAUGGGGUAUGUAUGUUACAUUCUGUCCGAUAUUGGAUUUGGUUAGUUAUUGCCUAUUGAUGGUGUUCGUGCUCGAUUUUCUCUUGUAAGCUCUAACGAGUCUGCUCUUCACGUAAAUUGUUUGCAGAAUUGUAUUUAUAUUUGACUAUUAAAUUUUAUUUAGAAUA